rnacentral:tRNA from 1 species
GAGUGCAUGACUCAGUGGUAGAGUGCCUGCCUAUCAAGCAGGAGGCCCUGAGUUCAAAUCCAGUACCACCA